GUGUUCUCUUGGCAUUUCAAGGUUUCAAUGCUCUCAAGCAAUUCAUCUUUUGGUCUUGACUGGUUUCAGAAAUUGGUGCUUUCAAACAAGGUAUGCUUAGGCAUGCAUACUGAUAUGAAGAUCUGUAGAGCAAAAAACUAUACUCCACACAAUGAUUCAUUGUUGAUUUCUAAUAGAAGAGUUUGCCAAUUAUUGCCUUGAAACAUGGUGGAUUGCUUGUGGAGCGCCUGAGAUCUCCAAAAGCCUAAAGAGAUGUUUUCAUUGUUUGAGAAAGGUUGCUAUUCAUGGGCUGCUAGUAAUUAUGGUUGGUCUACUACUUCUGCCUUUAAGCUCAAACAUCUAUUGGAAACAUUUAUACCGUGACAAUAACAAUGGGUUCAUCCAAGGUAAAGAUGUUGGCCUUAAAUCAAGUAUAAUUGGCUUCAAUUUAUUUGGAGUGCAAAGCGAACCCCAACGAACUUUUCGACUUUACAAAAAUGUUGCUGAGCAAAAAAUUACAUAAGCCAACAUCAGUAUUAUGAGAAAAUACAAUUGCAUUCUUGUCAGGUUGGGGUAGUUAGCUCCUAACGCUCAAACUUGAGUUGAUACUAAGGCUUCCAAAUCUUUAAGGGCUUCGUCGACUGCAUAAAGUAUCAUUUUCUUUAUCUGUUCCACCAAGAAGAUGAAUGACCAAACAAGUUAAGGAGAAGAAAUAAAGUGAAACAAAAUUGCUUACAGUUAAACAGAGUAGUUACCUCAAGUUUGUCUUCUCUAGCUCUAUGGUUCUUCGGAAGUUGUCUGAACUCCUCGGUCAAACGGAGGCACUCGUGGACGUUUUCAGGAGACACGAAGUCGGCUGCUACUUUUGUACAAGACUGCAGGAUGAAAACAUAAUAUUUUAGAGGAACUAUUAAACAAGACAAAAUCUUUGGAAAGAGGAAUCGUGAAGAUAACUAAUGAUAUAGGACCUUGAGAUUCCUGACUUGGUGUGGACAUCCGGCUGGAAUAAAUACUGCCUCUCCAAGUUUUUGUAGAAACGUCCAUGGUUCAACACCAAAUUCCUCCUUCAGCUUCUUUUUGUGCUCCAAUGUUAAAUAAAAAGAUUGGUCAUGAAUUGGAUGAAUGACCUGAACACACAAAAAUAAGGACAUUAAAAUAAAUAAAUACAUACAGCACCCUUUUAAGCACAAUUUGGCUAGACAAAAACUGAGGAUAGAUACAUACCCGUUCAACUAGUGAACAAUAGGUGUGCCUAAAUUCCUUAUAAUGUUUCAUAAGGUAUGCCUCUAAUUUAGGAACAUCCUCUCUCCGGAAGAUGUCCCACAAAGCACCACCAGUUUCCUCUGCCACUUCGGUGGAGGAAGAACCGGAUGUAGUGGGCCCAUCUAACUCAUCUUCAUCUUCAUCUUCAUCUUCUGGUACUUUCAAUUCUACGUUAAUUUCAGGAGAGAGAGUGUUUUCUAGUGCUUCUCUAUCCUGUGUCUGUUGACCAGGUUGUCCACCAUCCUUGAGAGAAUUCAUCCAAUCCAUAAGCUCUCUUUCAUCUUGGGCCCUAUGUAAUUUGUUCAACCUUGAAAUUGCAGAUUGCUGCUCAUCACAUAGCUGUACUUCUGAUGUGUGUGUCAAAAUAUUCACCUACACAAAUUGAAAUGAUGUGUCAAAA